UCAUUUAAGAGAUAAUGCACUUUGAAAUUUUGCGAGCGGAGGCAUGUAUUUCUGAAUCAACAACAGGUAACCACCUGAAAUUAUAAGAAAUUGAAGAGUUUAACAUGGUUAUGUGUUUGACAUAAUACCAAAAACAUUCAAUGAAAAAAAAAACCAAAAAAUCAAUUUGAAAUUUUCAUGUUUUGCAUUGACUUUGUAAGUUUCAUAGGUUCUAUUUAUAUAAUUGAUAUUGCAUCAUUUUUGGCACUUUGCCAAAUGGGGUCAUUUGAUAUAUCAAAUUGACGGUCUUAACGAGCUCUACUCAAAAAUGAAAAUGUAAAACCCCCUUUUCAUCCCAGGGGGAAGGGUGGGGUCAUUUAGUGCAAAAAAUUAAAACUUCUCAGAUGGUUAGGUUGUCGCAUAUCAAAUGAAAGUCCAUAAAGCGUACAUUUCAAAUAUCAAAUUGACGUCCCCAAAAAAUUGGUUGGGUGGGGUCAUUGAGUGCAAAAAAUAUAAUUUUCUUUUAAGGUAAGGUUGUUGUAUUUCAAAUGAAAGCUCGUAACGUGUACAUUUCAAAUAUCAGAUUCCUGUCCUCCAAAAAUAAGUUGGAUGGGGUUAUUAAGUGCAGAAAUCAAACUUUCUAGAACAUGGCGUUGUUGCAUAUCAAAUGAAAGAUAAUCAAGUCUAGAUUACAUAUAUCAUACUUCCGAUAUCAAAAAUGUAGGCGGAUGGGGUCAUUAAGUGUAAAAAGUGAAAAUUUUUAGAAGGUAUGCUUGUCGUAUAUCAAAUGAAAGGUCUUAAAGAGUACAUUACAAAAACAUCACUUUUGCAGGAAAGACCUUUCAAUUGUUUUACAAACAAUUGAGAUACUAGUUUUUUUAAGGUCUUUCCACUCCGUUAGGAAAGACCUUAUUGUUUUUCUAAUGUUUUUUUUUUUUCUUUUUUUUUUUUUUUUUCUUUUUCUUUUUUUUUUUUUUUUUUUUUUUCUUUUUUUUCUUCCAACAUUUUUUUGGGAAUGCCCUCCCCCCGUUUCUGUUAAAGUUAUCAAGACCAAAUAUGGACCAUCGAUAGACAUCAUCAUGAAGUAUUACCACAUGACCCUGUUAAGGAUUUCAUCAUCCCCUGUAGAAGUUAUCCCCCUUUUAUUGGAUUUUUUCAACAUGGCCCCCCUUCGUUGUUUUUGAAGAUAUCAUGACCUUAUUUUGACAAUAGGUUGAUCUCAUCAUGAUGUACUACCAUAUGAGGCUGCAUAGGAUUUCAUCAUCCCCUAUGCGAGUUAUAUCCCCUUGAAGCGAUUUCUUUCCUUUGCAUUUUUCUCAAAAAGUAUUAGAGAUAGAAUCGAUUUGAAAACGGCAACAUAUACAGGCACUAAUGGCAAUGUUAAUGAACAUAUAAAAUAAUUUUGUUAUUGACCCUUAUAAGGAGUUAUUUCUCUUAAAAAAAUAUACACAAUUUUUGAAAAAUUGUAUUUCGAGAACCGUAAGUCGUAGAGACUUGGGACCUACACCAAUAAUCUUAAGUUCAUGUGACCUUCAAUUUGCACCCAAGGUCAAAGGUCACAGAGUGCAAAAAAAAUUUACGCUGCAAUUUCAAGCUUGCAUAUUAAGAAAACCAUAAGAGUUUGCUGCAUACAUACUGUGUAUAAAAUGUUCCUCUCGACGAGCUCUACAUUUUAUACAUUAAGCUCAAAAAUGUCCGACUGUCUGUUCAAAAGUUACAUUAACAUAAUUCUUAAAACUAUAGUAACAUAUGUAUAUCUUUUAAAAGGUAACUGAUAUCAACCUACUAUAAACUGCAAAGAUGAUCAGUAAUUCAAGGCCUUCAAUUUGAGGUCAAUGUCAGGUCAUGAUGAAAUUUAACCUUGACCUUCAGAGUGUACUAUGACCUUGACCUUGUGACAUUUGAAAGGUCAAGUGGUCUUGAGUUGAAUGGUGGUAGUCCUAUGUCUCUACGACUUACGGUUCUCAAGUUUGAUAUUGCAUCAUAUAUUUGAUAAUUCAUUGUGACCUUGAUGAACUUUGGAAUUGUCCAAUUUUUUUUCUAAAAUAUUGUCCUUUUACUGUAGAUCAUUUUUCUUUUAACAAAUUUGAGAUACCUGUUGUCGUUUAAGAGAUAAUGCACUUUGAAAUUUUGCGAGCGGAGGCAUGUAUUUCUGAAUCAACAACAGGUAACCACCUGAAAUUUUCAGAAAUUAAAGAGUUUAACAGGGUUAUAUGUUAGACCAAAUACCAAAAACAUUCAAUGAAAAAAAAAACCAAAAAAUCAAUUUGAAAUUUUCAUGUUUUGCAUUGACUUUGUAAGUUUCAUAAGUUCUAUUUAUAUAAUUGAUAUUGCAUCAUUUAUGGCACUUUGCCAAAUGGGGUCAUUUGAUAUAUCAAAUUGAAGGUCUUAACGAGCUCUACUCAAAAAUGAAAAUGUAAAACCCCCUUUUCAUCCCAGGGGGAAGGGUGGGGUCAUUUAGUGCAAAAAAUUAAAACUUCUCAGAUGGUUAGGUUGUCGCAUAUCAAAUGAAAGUCCAUAAAGCGUACAUUUCAAAUAUCAAAUUGACGUCCCCAAAAAAUGGGUUGGGUGGGGUCAUUGAGUGCAAAAAAUAUAAUUUUCUUUUAAGGUAAGGUUGUUGUAUUUCAAAUGAAAGGUAGUAGCGUGUACAUUUCAAAUAUCAGAUUCCUGUCCUCAAAAAAUUAGUUGGAUGGGGUUAUUAAGUGCAAAAAUCAAACUUUCUAGAACAUGGCGUUGUCGCAUAUCAAAUGAAAGAUAAUCAAGUCUAGAUUACAUAUAUCAUACUUCCGAUAACAAAAAUGUAGGUGGAUGGGGUCAUUAAGUGUAAAAAGCGAAAAUUUUCAGAAGGUAUGCUUGUC